rnacentral:rRNA from 1 species
AUUGAACGCUGGCGGCAUGCUUUACACGUGCAAGUCGAACGGUAACAGGUUAAGCUGACGAGUGGCGAACGGGUGAGUAAUGCAUCGGAACGUGCCCGGUCGUGGGGGAUAACGCAGCGAAAGCUGCGCUAAUACCGCAUACGAUCUGAGGAUGAAAGCGGGGGACCGUAAGGCCUCGCGCGAUCGGAGCCGCCGAUGUCGGAUUAGGGAGUUGGUGGGGUAAAGGCCCACCAAGCCGACGAUCUGUAGCUGGUCUGAGAGGACGACCAGCCACACUGGGACUGAGACACGGCCCAGACUCCUACGGGAGGCAGCAGUGGGGAAUUUUGGACAAUGGGCGAAAGCCUGAUCCAGCAAUGCCGCGUGCAGGAAGAAGGCCUUCGGGUUGUAAACUGCUUUUGUACGGAGCGAAAAGGUCCUUUCUAAUACAAGGGGCUCAUGACGGUACCGUAAGAAUAAGCACCGGCUAACUACGUGCCAGCCGCCGCCGUAA